GACGAACGCUGGCGGCGUGCUUAACACAUGCAAGUCGAACGGAAAGGCCCUGCUUUUGUGGGGUGCUCGAGUGGCGAACGGGUGAGUAACACGUGAGUAACCUGCCCUUGACUUUGGGAUAACUUCAGGAAACUGGGGCUAAUACCGGAUAUGAGCUCCUGCUGCAUGGUGGGGGAUGGAAAGUUUCGGCGGUUGGGGAUGGACUCGCGGCUUAUCAGCUUGUUGGUGGGGUAGGUGCUUACCAAGGCUUUGACGGGUAGCCGGCCUGAGAGGGUGACCGGCCACAUUGGGACUGAGAUACGGCCCAGACUCCUACGGGAGGCAGCAGUGGGGAAUAUUGCACAAUGGGCGGAAGCCUGAUGCAGCAACGCCGCGUGCGGGAUGACGGCCUUCGGGUUGUAAACCGCUUUCGCCUGUGACGAAGCGUGAGUGACGGUAAUGGGUAAAGAAGCACCGGCUAACUACGUG
rnacentral:rRNA from 1 species